rnacentral:rRNA from 1 species
AGAGUUUGAUCAUGGCUCAGAACUAACGCUGGCGGCGUGCCUAACACAUGCAAGUCGUACGAGAAAGUUGGCUUCGGCCGAUGAGUAAAGUGGCGCACGGGUGAGUAACGCGUGGAUAAUCUACCCCUCAGUUGGGAAUAACUCAUCGAAAGGUGGGCUAAUACCGAAUAAUACUGCAUGACUUCUGUUGUGUAGUCAAAGAUGGCCUCUGCUUGCAAGCUAUCGCUGAAGGAUGAGUCCGCGUACCAUUAGCUAGUUGGUAGGGUAAUGGCCUACCAAGGCAACGAUGGUUAGCUGGUCUGAGAGGAUGAUCAGCCACACUGGAACUGAGACACGGUCCGGACUCCUACGGGAGGCAGCAGUGAGGAAUAUUGCGCAAUGGGGGCAACCCUGACGCAGCAACGCCGCGUGAGUGAGGAAGGUUUUCGGACCGUAAAGCUCUGUCGAGCGGGAAGAAAUGCAUAGUGGCUAAUAUCCAUUAUGCUUGACGGUACCGCUAAAGGAAGCACCGGCUAACUCCGUGCCAGCAGCCGCGGUAAUACGGGGGGUGCUAGCGUUGUUCGGAAUCAUUGGGCGUAAAGAGCGUGUAGGCGGCUGGAUAAGCCAGAUGUGAAAGCCCUGGGCUUAACCUAGGAAGUGCGUUUGAAACUGUUCAGCUUGAGUAAGGGAGAGGAAAGUGGAAUUCCUGGUGUAGAGGUGAAAUUCGUAGAUAUCAGGAGGAACACCGGUGGCGAAGGCGACUUUCUGGCCCUAUACUGACGCUGAGACGCGGGAGCGUGGGUAGCAAACAGGAUUAGAUACCCUGGUAGUCCACGCUGUAAACGAUGUUCACUAGGUGUUGGGGGUAUUGACCCUCUCAGUGCCGCAGCUAACGCAUUAAGUGAACCGCCUGGGGAGUACGGUCGCAAGAUUAAAACUCAAAGGAAUUGACGG